UACAGAGGCCUCGAGCGUUAAUCGGAAUCACUGGGCUUAAAGGGUGCGUAGGCGGAGCGAUAAGUGCCUUGUGAAAUCCCAUGGCUUAACCAUGGAAUUGCUCGGUAGACUAUCGUUCUUGAGGUAGGUAGAGGUCACUGGAACUCUAGGUGGAGCGGUGAAAUGCGUAGAUAUCUAGAGGAACGCCGAUGGUGAAGACAGGUGACUGGGCCUAUUCUGACGCUGAUGCACGAAAGCGUGGGGAGCAAACGGG
rnacentral:rRNA from 1 species